rnacentral:rRNA from 1 species
CACGAAGCUGGAAUCGCUAGUAAUCGCGAAUCAGAAUGUCGCGGUGAAUACGUUCCCGGGUCUUGUACACACCGCCCGUCACACCAUGGGAGUCGGGAAUGCCCGAAGUCAGUGACCCAACCUAUUGGAGGGAGCUGCCGAAGGCAGGUCUGAUAACUGGGGUGAAGUCGUAACAAGGUAUC